rnacentral:tRNA from 2 species
GCGGGUGUAGCUCAGGGGUAGAGCACUUGCUUCCCAAGCAAGGUGUCACGGGUUCGAAUCCCGUUACCCGCU